UGGGGAAUAUUGCACAAUGGAGAGAACUCUGAUGCAGCGACGCCGCGUGAACGAAGAAGGCUUUCGAGUCGUAAAGUUCUUUUAUAUGGGAAGAUAAUGACGGUACCAUAAGAAAAAGCCCCGGCUAACUACGUGCCAGCAGCCGCGGUAAUACGUAGGGGGCUAGCGUUGUCCGGAAUCACUGGGCGUAAAGGGUUCGCAGGCGGAAAUGCAAGUCAGGUGUAAAAGGCAGUAGCUUAACUACUGUAAGCAUUUGAAACUGCAUAUCUUGAGAAGAGUAGAGGUAAGUGGAAUUUUUAGUGUAGCGUUGAAAUGCGUAGAUAUUAAAAAGAAUACCGGUGGCGAAGGCGACUUACUGGGCUCAUUCUGACGCUGAGGAACGAAAGCGUGGGUAGCAAACAGG
rnacentral:rRNA from 1 species